UACGAAGGGGGCUAGCGUUGCUCGGAAUCACUGGGCGUAAAGCGCACGUAGGCGGAUUCUUAAGUCAGGGGUGAAAUCCUGGAGCUCAACUCCAGAACUGCCUUUGAUACUGGGAGUCUCGAGUCCGGGAGAGGUGAGUGGAACUGCGAGUGUAGAGGUGAAAUUCGUAGAUAUUCGCAAGAACACCAGUGGCGAAGGCGGCUCACUGGCCCGAUACUGACGCUGAGGUGCGAAAGCGUGGGGAGCAAACAGG
rnacentral:rRNA from 1 species